AUGGACACUCCAUUUAGAGGUGGAGUGCAUAACAGUACCAUGCCCCCUGUGUUCCAAAUUGGAUCAGGAAAAGCGGUCUUUCCGGGCAAUGAUUCAAUCCAAAAGGCAAGAGCUAUUUUAGGAGUACUUUUCAGGAAGGCAAUAUCCCUUUUACUGGUCUUCUAUCUUCUAUGUAAAAGCAUCACAAAAUUACCCAGUCUAUCAUUUAGUGAGGGAUGUUCCAAGUUAUACAACACUGUCACACUUCAGUGUGGUGAAAAAAAUUACUACACAAAUAAACUGGAUCUUUACAACUUUGGCAUCGUCCUGUGGAAGUUGCUGACCAAUAAAAUGCCAUUAGAAGGCAUGUUGAAUUUUCAAGCUGCAUAUAUAUGCUGCUGCUUUUAA
rnacentral:rRNA from 1 species